CUGUGGGAUAAAAUGGUAAAGUUGGAGCAAAGAAUGAGAGGAGGAGGUGCAGGGUCUAUCGUCCAAUAAAAACGCUCGGCGCUAGUUUUGACCGUGUGUUUUUUCCUCACGCAAGCGUUUGUAUCACAUCGGCGUAUGGCGCCAAUUUGUAAAGGUCAUAAGUCGAGACAUACAUCGAGUCUGUCAAUUUGUCCGGCAGUAAAUUCUGCAGGGCCGUGCCACCUGGCCAUCGAGGCGCCCCCCUACCCGGCCACGCGGGCCAUACAUCGAGUCUGACACUUUUGCCCUCCAGUAAAUUCUGUUUAAAGUUUUGUUUUCACAUACGUCCCAAAUUACAGAUAAUUUUCUUACACAGGCACGAGUAGCAUCAUCAAGGCCGUACCACCUGGUCAUACAUCAAGUCUGACAAUUUCCCCGCCAGUAAAUUCUGUUUAUAGUUUUGUUUGUCAUACAUGACCGUGCAGAUAUGGGGUGACAGAGACAAUUAAAUUGUAUUACGUCGAGCGGGGGGCCUUUUCCUCCUCCUAGAGGCACAACGCCUUACCAAAGUUUGUACCAGCCAAAGAACCACAAGUUUCAUCGAGACCUUACCCGGUAAGUAUAUUAUUUCUUUUAUUCCUGUUAUAAAAAUGCUAUUCAAUUAAAAAUAACAUUCUAAUAAUAGGUAUUCUCUGUUUUUUCUAUGUACAAGAGAGAGAGACUGCGCUGACCGGUCAAGAGAAAAUCUACAAGAGACCUGAAUCAGCAGUGUUAUAAAGCACAUAGCCAACGCUAAUUAAUAAAGAAUUUAAGCAUAAUAGCCCAGACGCCCAUGGCCUAUAGCUGGUAGAAACGGAGCUAUCCUACGGCCUACAAGAUAAAAGCAUAUGGCACCAAAUUGGAAUCAGUAGUCUUUAAAAGAAUAAAUGGACUAGCAACUGUCUCUGGGGGAGCAGCCCCGGUUAGGUACUAUUAAGCAGCAUUUAGUGACAUGCAUCAAAACACAUUUUUUAAAACUUUGACAGAAUAAAGUCUUAGUUAUUUUAAUAAA